rnacentral:rRNA from 1 species
UUAAGCAUAUCAAUAAGCGGAGGAAAAGAAACCAACAGGGAUUGCCUCAGUAACGGCGAGUGAAGCGGCAACAGCUCAAAUUUGAAAUCUGGCGUCUUCGGCGUCCGAGUUGUAAUUUGUAGAGGAUGCUAUUGAGUUGUCACCGGUCUAAGUUCCUUGGAACAGGACGUCACAGAGGGUGAGAAUCCCGUAUGUGACCGGCCAGACGCUCUCUGUAUAGCUCCUUCGACGAGUCGGGUUGUUUGGGAAUGCAGCCCUAAAUGGGAGGUAAAUUUCUUCUAAAGCUAAAUACCGGCCAGAGACCGAUAGCGCACAAGUAGAGUGAUCGAAAGAUGAAAAGCACUUUGGAAAGAGAGUUAAAAAGCACGUGAAAUUGUUGAAAGGGAAGCGCUUGCAAUCAGUCUCGACGGCGGCUGUUCGGCCUCUCUUCUGAGUGGUUUAUUCAGUCGCCGCCGGGCCAGCAUCAGUUCUGGCGGUCGGAUAAAGGCGCAGGGAAUGUAGCUCCUCUCGGGGAGUGUUAUAGCCCUGUGUGCAAUACGGCCCGCCGGGACUGAGGUCCGCGCUUCGGCUAGGAUGCUGGCGAAAUGGUUGUAAGCGGCCCGUCUUGAAACACGGACCAAGGAGUCUAACAUCUAUGCGAGUGUUUGGGUGUCAAACCCGUACGCGUAAUGAAAGUGAACGGAGGUGGGAACCGCAAGGUGCACCAUCGACCGAUCCUGAUGUCUUCGGAUGGAUUUGAGUAAGAGCAUAGCUGUUGGGACCCGAAAGAUGGUGAACUAUGCCUGAAUAGGGUGAAGCCAGAGGAAACUCUGGUGGAGGCUCGCAGCGGUUCUGACGUGCAAAUCGAUCGUCAAAUUUGGGUAUAGGGGCGAAAGACUAAUCGAACCAUCUAGUAGCUGGUUCCUGCCGA